CAGUAGCCACGGUAACACGUAGGGUGCGAGCGUUAAUCGGAAUUACUGGGCGUAAAGCGUGCGCAGGCGGUUCGUUAAGACAGAUGUGAAAUCCCCGGGCUUAACCUGGGAACUGCAUUUGUGACUGGCGAGCUAGAGUAUGGCAGAGGGGGGUAGAAUUCCACGUGUAGCAGUGAAAUGCGUAGAGAUGUGGAGGAAUACCGAUGGCGAAGGCAGCCCCCUGGGCCAAUACUGACGCUCAUGCACGAAAGCGUGGGGAGCAAACAGGAUUAGAUACCCGCGUAGUCCCUGUCUCUUAUAC
rnacentral:rRNA from 1 species